AAGGGAAGAAAUAGGAUGAAGGUGAUUGAAUGGCCUCACCAUCGUCUUUUUCGUCGUAAUUGAAUUCAACCCGUGGGCUUCUCGCUUUUCUGGAUUUGAACCAGAAAUUCGCCGAGAUCAUGAAGGAGAUGGAGACUGAAUGGAUCAUGGAUGUUCCUGAUACACCUGAUCGGUUAGCUGCCCGACAAAUUAAUGGCAGACAGUUUAUUCAGACGGAGGGUGGUUCAUCCUUAUCUAAUCGUUUGAGAAAGCCUGAUUUCAUGAUGGAAAAGGGGAUGAAUGGCAUGAAGGGUGCAGGGGUGCUUGUCAGUGAAAAUGGGCAUGAUUUGAGAUUAGACAGUAGUUCCAAAAAUAUUCCUGGUGAUGAUUUUAAGGAUCGCAGUAACACCAUUAUUCUUUCAGCGGGAGAGAAUUCUUAUGCAUCACAAAAUCAUAUUUUACUUAGAAAAGGUGGAAGGGAAAAAUAUUCAUGUCAGGGGCCAAAACCUUUUAAUUCCCCUCGUCGCAUUGAUAAAGGGAUUACGAUAUCUGUCGACACUCCUUCCAAACCUCCUGCUCGUCAAGAAAAUACUGUCAUUCCAAAAAUAAGAGAACCUGAUCAUAAGUACAGACCUCAGAUGGUUUAUCCUCAUUUUACAGCUAAGGACUGUAAGAUGGAGAACACAUUGAAUGGACAGUCCACACGUUAUAUGCCAAAUGCUCCAAAGAGAUCCAGCACGAUCAUUAAAGGGAAGGAAAAGGCUGUUGAGGAAUCAAAUAACACUCAUAAUCGACAUGAGAAGCAAGUUUUGGAUUCUCACCAGUUUGUUAACUCCCCUAGAGCCACUGGACAUAAAAGGCUGGUCAGAAAUGGUUGUAUCUCACCUCAUAAUAUAUCAUCAAAGACAAAACAUUUAUCUGAGCAGUGUGAAAAGAGUUCUAGAGGUGUAGACCAGAGCAAUUUAGGGAGCAUGCCAUCAAGCAGUCCAUCUUGUCUGAUUGAUAUAAAGGAUAUAGUUGCGGAAGACAAUCGUAUUAACAAAGAUAAAGGAAAAAGGAUUAUGCGUCAACCUUCUACAUCACAUGAUGAUGAUGAUAUCAAAGUCAUUUGUGCAUCUAGCAGUGUCGCGGAAAAGGCCGUUGGAGCUAAUCCAGUCGGAACUUCCAGAUUAGAUACAUCUGAAUGUUCUGAAGAAUUAGGUGGUUGGAGAAGAACACAUAAUAAUUCAAGGAAGGGGAUUUUCUUGUCUAAUCCAUCUGGGAAUUCUUUUAAGAAAAUAAAUAACAUUGGAAAACUUUCUAAUGGAGAAACUGAAAUUGUUAUGGAGAGAAAAACCCCUAACAAGAAAGACCAAGGAGCGGAAAUUGGUUGUGCUAGAAAUGCUGAUACAGCUCAAAGGGCUUUUGGCAUUGUACCCAAGAUAGACCAGACCGUUGGACCAAUGCAUGCUGAAAGCAAACUCAACAAAAGACGGAAGAAACUUGGAUCAACCUCACAAACUAAUACUUCAUUGCACGUUCCAGACGUUGUGUACCUCGAUACACCUGGGGAGUCUUCAAAUGCAAGGUCAAAUAGACUCCAGAGUCAAAGAAUUUGUGAUAACUUGAAUGAUGUUAUUGAGGUUGAUGAGUUGUCACCUGAAAUUAGACACCCUACCUCCCAGACUGUUGGUUGCCCAAAUGAUGACAGUGUAGAUGCUAAGGCAAGACAACUUGAAGCUGACGAGAUGUUGGCUCGUGACCUUCAGGAACAACUAUAUCAGGAGAUGCCUGUUGGAGAAGAGAUUGAUGAACAUUUAGCUAUGGCACUGCAGCAGGUGGAGAAUGGGCAUUUUGCACCUCCUUCCCGGCGGACACACAAUAGUCAAAGGGGCUCGAUGGUAGCACAGGCAAAUAGACGCACUCGAUCUCAAUCUGUACAAAGUUCUUCUAAUAGAACACGGACUCGAGUAACCCACUCUGCACGAAUGGCACAAAUGAGAAAUCAAUUUUUUGGUGGCUCUCAUAGAGUGUCAACUAGACAAAGGAAUGUUAAUUUUCCUAUGCAUAUGGAUUUGGAUAUGAGACUUGAUAUAUUGGAAGCGCUCGAGGCCGCAGUUGGAGACGUGGAAGAUGUGAGAAUGAAUAGGAGGGGCAUUUUGCACAUCCAGCGCGAUUUUAACGAGAAUGAUUACGAAAUGUUGCUAUCCCUCGACGAGAACAACCACCGCCAUGCUGGUGCAUCGACGAACCGGAUUAAUAGUUUGCCUCAAUCUACUGUUCAGACCGACAGCAUGGAAGAAGCUUGUGCAAUUUGUCUUGAUACACCGACCAUUGGAGACGUCAUUCGCCAUCUACCUUGCUUACACAAAUUUCAUAAAGAUUGUAUCGAUCCAUGGCUACAGAGGCGAACGUCGUGCCCAGUUUGUAAGUUGUCAAUCGCUUGAUAUUAAGGGCGACUUCGGGGUAUUACAAGUCUGCACGCUCUCUUACUCUCUUUUGGAGCCAAGCGUAUUAGAACGCUUGAUCUCGGGCAGUCGGAAUCGUUAGACUUCAAAGGUGCAAUUCUCCAUUGGGGAACAGAGCAAAGUUUCCAGCUCGAACGAGUGGGUAUGGUUUUGAAUGAAUCAUCAACCAACCGGAGAAGAUUCAUAAUUUGUAUCUAUGGCAGCCUAUUUAUAAUUUAUAUGCUAACCCAUUGCCAUACAGCAAGAAAAGCUUAAUAUAUUGGCUUGGAAUGCCCAAAAUUUAACAGGAAAACUUUGCAGGUAAAAUUGAAUUCAC